rnacentral:rRNA from 1 species
AUUGAACGCUGGCGGCAGGCCUAACACAUGCAAGUCGAGCGAGCGGCGGACGGGUGAGUAAUGUCUGGGAAACUGCCUGUUGGGGGUGGCUAACUACUGGAAACGGUAGCUAAUACCGCAUACCAUCAAAUCUGCCCAGAUGGGAUUAGCUGGUAGGUGGGGUAACGGCCCACCCAGGCAACGAUCCCUAGCUGGUCUGAGAGGAUGACCAGCCACACUGGAACUGAGACACGGUCCAGACUCCUACGGGAGGCAGCAGUGGGGAAUAUUGCACAAUGGGCGCAAGCCUGAUGCAGCCAUGCCGCGUGUGUGAAGAAGGCCUUCGGGUUGUAAAGCACUUUCAGCGGGGAGGCGUUACCCGCAGAAGAAGCACCGGCUAACUCCGUGCCAGCAGCCGCGGUAAUUC